rnacentral:tRNA from 1 species
AACAAAGAAGUAAAAUUACAAUUAGUUUCGACCUAAUAUAAGAGUUAGUUCUCCAUGUUU